rnacentral:rRNA from 1 species
UACGUAGGGUGCAAGCGUUAUCCGGAAUUAUUGGGCGUAAAGAGCUCGUAGGCGGUUUGUCGCGUCUGCCGUGAAAGUCCGGGGCUCAACUCCGGAUCUGCGGUGGGUACGGGCAGACUAGAGUGCAGUAGGGGGAGACUGGAAUUCCUGGUGUAGCGGUGAAAUGCGCAGAUAUCAGGAGGAACACCGAUGGCGAAGGCAGCUCGCUGGGACGGUACUGACGCUGAGACGCGAAAAGCGUGGGGGAGCAAACAGG